GGGUGAUUAGCUCAGUGGUAGAGCGCUUCGUUCACAUCGAAGAUGUCAGGGGUUCAAAUCCCUUAUUACCCACCA
rnacentral:tRNA from 1 species